AAACUUUCAACAACGGAUCUCUUGGUUCUGGCAUCGAUGAAGAGCGCAGCGAAAUGCGAUAAUUAAUGUGAAUUGCAGACUCAGUGAAUCAUCGAAUCUUUGAACGCACAUUGCGCCCUCUGGUAUUCCGGGGGGCAUGCCUGUUCGAGCGUCAUUA
rnacentral:rRNA from 1 species